AGAGUUUGAUCCUGGCUCAGGACUAACGCUGGCGGCAUGCAUCAUACAUGCAAGUCAAACGGGAAGUGUUGUGGCAACAUAGUGCUUCCAGUGGCGCACGGGUGAGUAACACGUAGGUAACCUACCCUGGGGAGGGGAAUAACAUGCCGAAAGGCGUGCUAAUACCCCAUAGCAUCCGAGAGCCGCAUGGCUCAUGGAUUAAAGGACGGCCUCUGUUUCAUGCUUCCACCCCGGGAGGGACCUGCGCACUAUCAGCUUGUUGGUGGGGUAAAGGCCUACCAAGGCAAUGACGGUUAGCCGGCUUGAGAGAGUGAACGGCCACACUGGAACUGAGACACGGUCCAGACUCCUACGGGAGGCAGCAGUAGGGAAUCUUCCGCAAUGGGCGAAAGCCUGACGGAGCAAUGCCGCGUGAGGGAUGAAGGCCUUCGGGUUGUAAACUUCUUUUCUAGGGGAAGAAGGUUGGUUUGGUAACUCUGAUCAACUUGACGGUACCUUGGGAAUAAGCCCCGGCUAAUUACGUGCCAGCAGCCGCGGUAAUACGUAAGGGGCAAGCGUUGUCCGGAUUCACUGGGCGUAAAGGGCGCGUAAGCGGUUUGGUAAGUAGAGGGUGCAAGCUCCGAGCUUAACUCGGAAAUUGCCCUCUAAA
rnacentral:rRNA from 1 species